UGAUAUUUCCUGAAAACUUGCAAUUAUUAUAAAAUCAUUUUAAAACCCUGUGUUACUUAAGUCAAUAUGAAAUAUGUGAUGGUAGAGUAUGAGUUUCUUAUUCUUGAUAUCAUUGUUACUUGGAGAAUUUAUUUCAAAAUAUUCAAAAUUCUAGCUACCAUCCUCAGUGUUUUAUAUGCCUGAUAAAACUGAAAAUAUUAAUUAUGAUUAUAAAAGCUAUCUGCUCUGUAUUGAGUUUGUUCAAAAUGAGUUAGACCCUUGUUGAGAGAUUUAUCAUGCUCCCAAGAUCAAGACAUUAUUUCAGUAAGAUUCACUCUUCCGAAGUAUUAUUGCAUUAGAGGCAUGGGCUAUGCAAAAAUAGAGAUAUUUCGAGGAAAUAAAAAGGAGCAAGUGCUCGACAACCUCGCAGAAAAAAAAUGGACAAGUGUCCGGCAGUAGAAUUAGGGGUACCUCGGUAUCCACUUAAAAAAAAAGAAAGAUGAUAGCCCAUGGUCCCUCUAAUAAGCAAUAUGCCAGUAAGAGUUGACAAAGAUUUUAAUUUCCAAAGUCUUUGAUCUAAGAGUAUGACAUUCCCCUCCUCGGAUCCCGUUAUAAAUGCAAAGUAAGAAUGCUUGAGAAUUUUUGCAAAAUAAAACAGCC
rnacentral:lncRNA from 1 species